UGAAGUUGGAAUUGCUAGUAAUCGCGAAUCAGAAUGUCGCGGUGAAUACGUUCCCGGGCCUUGUACACACCGCCCGUCACACCAUGAGAGUCGAUAACACCCGAAGCCUGUGAGCUAACCGCAAGGGGGCAGCAGUCGAAGGUGGGGUUNAUGAUUGGGGUGAAGUCGUAACAAGGUAUC
rnacentral:rRNA from 1 species